AGUGAACGCUGGCGGCGUGCUUAAGACAUGCAAGUCGAACGGCAGUCUUCGGACUGUAGUGGCGCACGGGUGAGUAACGCGUAACUGACCUACCCCAAAGUCGCGGAUAACGAUUCGAAAGAAUCGCUAAUACGUGAUGUGCUGUCAGAUUGUGUUCUGCCAGUAAAGAUUGCUUGCUUUGGGAUGGGGUUGCGUUCCAUCAGGUAGUUGGUGGGGUAAAGGCCCACCAAGGCGACGGCGGAUAGCCGUCCUGAGAGGGUGGCCGGCCACAGGGGCACUGAGACACGGGUCCCACUCCUACGGGAGGCAGCAGUUAGGAAUCUUCCACAAUGGGCGAAAGCCUGAUGGAGCGACGCCGCGUGAGGGAUGAAGGUCUUCGGAUCGUAAACCUCUGAAUCAGGGACGAAAGACACUUCGGUGGGAUGACGGUACCUGAGUAAUAGCACCGGCUAACUCCGUGCCAGCCGCCGCAGUAACAC
rnacentral:rRNA from 1 species